AGGGUGUAAACGCUGCAGACUUGGUGUUGGGGGCCCUUUGGGGGCAUUCAGUGCCGGAGAGAAGUUGUUAAGUCUGCUACUUGGGAGUACGUCCGCAAGGAUGAAACUUAAAGGAAUUGGCGGGGGAGCACCGCAACGGGAGGAGCGUGCGGUUUAAUUGGAUUCAACACCGUAAAACUCACCAGGGAAGACUGUUACAUGAAGGCCGAGAUGAAGACUCUGCUAGAUUUUCAGAGAGGUGGUGCAUGGCGUCAGUGACU
rnacentral:rRNA from 1 species